rnacentral:rRNA from 1 species
GACGAACGCUGGCGGCGUGCUUAACACAUGCAAGUCGAACGGAAAGGCCCUGCUUUUGUGGGGUGCUCGAGUGGCGAACGGGUGAGUAACACGUGAGUAACCUGCCCUUGACUUUGGGAUAACUUCAGGAAACUGGGGCUAAUACCGGAUAGGAGCUCCUGCUGCAUGGUGGGGGUUGGAAAGUUUCGGCGGUUGGGGAUGGACUCGCGGCUUAUCAGCUUGUUGGUGGGGUAGUGGCUUACCAAGGCUUUGACGGGUAGCCGGCCUGAGAGGGUGACCGGCCACAUUGGGACUGAGAUACGGCCCAGACUCCUACGGGAGGCAGCAGUGGGGAAUAUUGCACAAUGGGCGGAAGCCUGAUGCAGCAACGCCGCGUGCGGGAUGACGGCCUUCGGGUUGUAAACCGCUUUCGCCUGUGACGAAGCGCGAGUGACGGUAAUGGGUAAAGAAGCAUCGGCUAACUACGUG